AAUUUCUCAUCUUUCCAGAUGAUUUUCUUGAAUGGUACAUUU
rnacentral:snoRNA from 1 species